CAGUGUCCCCCUGCUUCACUGCACGCGAAUACAACCUCGCGCUCCUCCAGCUCCAGUCGCUGGCGUCUGACUGGCUGGAGCCCCCCCCUCCGCGCGCGUGCACACGCACGCACGCACGCGAGGAAGGAUUUGCACAUAGAACCCCGAUUCUGCAUAUACAGUAGUGAAAGGAAGGGGGCGCCGGGGGAUCCAGGGAAAGGGAACCAAACUCUUCUGUUCACAGAGCCAGUCACUCACACGUCCCAGAUCAAACUCCAUGCUGACGCGCCUCACAAACACACUCAUCACUCAACAAGGGUCCAAGGUGAACAGCAGGAAUCCGACUCAGCCACCACCUUAAGUGGUGACCAAUCAGAUGAAGAUGAUGCGCAGCAGCUCUCAGCAUCACCUUGGAGCACGUGCACCUGAAUGAAACCAAACCAGUCUUUGUUGCCAAAAACAAAAGGACACAAAUGCCAUGAAACAAACACGUUUAUAAUUACUUUGUGAAGCAAACAUUGAUGGUGACAUGUUAAUACUUUCUGUAAAAUAAAUAAAUUUUAAAAAACCAACAACUAUUUGACAGCUCUACAAUUUUUCUACAGCCCCUGUCAGUCAUGGUGUCAUGUGGAGGCUGUGUGCAGGCAGGAGUGGUGAAAUGGAGGACCCAAAGUGCAGACUCCGGGGACAAAACGUGAACUCAAAAAACAGCUUUAAUGCUGAACUCAAAAAGUAACAAACUUCCAAAUAAACUUACGCAGACAGAACACACAGCAAG